UACAGAGGUCUCAAGCGUUGUUCGGAUUCAUUGGGCGUAAAGGGUGCGUAGGUGGUGGUUCAAGUUGGAUGUGAAAGCCCCGGGCUUAACCUGGGAAGGUCAUCCAAGACUGAGCGACUAGAGUAUAGUAGAGGGAAGUGGAAUUUCCGGUGUAGCGGUGAAAUGCGUAGAUAUCGGAAGGAACACCAGUGGCGAAGGCGACUUCCUGGACUAAUACUGACACUGAGGUGCGAAAGCGUGGGGAGCAAACAGG
rnacentral:rRNA from 1 species